rnacentral:misc_RNA from 1 species
UCGACGACAGCUGUUUGACAGUUCGCUUUAUUUUCGAAAGAAAAUUCGCAUAUCUUCGACAGAAGAAAAGCUUUUUGUUCUUUGUUAUUUGUUUAUUCACUGUGCAAUUUGAAGGUGAUAGUGUUUUUCUGUAGAUAUAGAUGAGUUAGUUUACGAAGUGAUAACGGUUGGUGAGAUGUACACUAUAAAUAGAUUCGCUCGCAGUUUUGUGAUGGUUGAUCAGACAUAUUGAAGUGGCUUAGGAAAUAUGGGUAGAAGAGAGGAGCCGGCAUGGGCCAAGGGGACGGUGGGGCUGGCGGCGGCCCGGGAGCGCGGGGACAUAGACCGCCAGUUCCAAACCCGACUGACUGUGACACGCAGCACGAUCGACCGCCUUGGUUUAGAGAAGGAGCUCCACGGUCAUAUGGGAUGCGUCAAUUGCCUCGAAUGGAACUACGACGGGUCGGUGUUAGCAUCAGCAUCAGAUGACCUGCACGUGAUCCUCUGGGACCCGUACCGGUACAAGCAGCUACACAACAUCCCCACUGGACAUACUGGGAACAUAUUCUCAGUUAAGUUCCUAACCCCGGACAUCAUAGCGACAUGCGCGGCGGACGGCACGGUGCGCGCGCGCAGCGUGUGCGGCGGCGCGUCGCUGCUGGAGUGCGCGUGCCACUGCGGCCGGGUCAAGCGGCUGGCCGCCGCGCCCGACAACCCGCACCUGCUGUGGUCCGCGGGGGAAGACGGCCUUGUGUUGCAACACGACCUGCGCACCUCUCACCGCUGCAACUCGGACACUGCUAACGUGUUGGUGAACCUGCUGAACCAUAUGGGGCGCUACGCGGAGGCCAAGUGUGUCGCCGUCAACCCCCGCAGACCGUACCAAUUGGCCGUGGGGGCGAAUGACUUCUACGUCCGCCUCUACGAUACAAGGAUGAUUAAACUGGCCAAACUACAGGUCGGUUCGCCCUCGAAUAAUUCGGCGACUAAUAGACUGAUGUGGGAACGGCAGAACAUACGGUGCUCGCGGGCCGGACACGGAGACCCCGACAACAACAUCCCACGCGGAGCUGUCACCUACUUCGCGCCAGGCCACCUGUCAAUGGAACCAAAUGAACACACGUUUCCGAAGAAGGCGACAACGUACGUGGCGUUUAGUCACGAUGGAAAUGAGCUGCUAGUCAACCUGGGGUCAGAACAGGUAUACCUAUUCGACGUGAACGCGGGUCGUCGCCCGGUCCUCGUGGAGAGCUUCAUCAUCCAGCACAACCACUCGUACCGCGAGGGUGAAGAGAAACAACCGCACAAGAACGGAACAAAUGGCACUACAGCGGCCCCCGAGCCACCGCCUGUGCUGUCCGAACGCGUGCUACAUAUCAAGGAGAUGGCGAACGAGCUUGUAAACAAAGGCAACUACUCUACAGCCGUGGACUUCUACAACAACGCGAUCGCGGAGUGCCCCGACUGCGCGAUACUCUACUCCAACCGCGCCGCUGCUCUUAUGAGGCGUGGCUGGGCUGGCGACACCUACGCCGCAAUCAAAGACUGCUACAAAGCCAUCAAACUUGACCCGACACACGUCAAGUCUCACUUCAGACUCGCCAAGGCUCUGAUGGAGCUGCAGAGGCCACGAGAGGCCAGCGAAUGCCUCCGGUACUUCAAAGACAAGUUCCCGAGGCAUUCGACGAGCCAUGCAGUGUUUCUACUGCAGAAGGACAUCACUGUUGCCUUGGAGGGCAUGGAAACGCAGCCUGAUGAAGUCCCGGCAGUGGGCGGCAGUAUGGGUGAGGCGGAGGAGAACACAGCCACGUCAGUCCUGGAGCGGCAGCUGCGGGCCUCCGCCGCAGACUACACGCAGCGGCUGCUCGGACACUGUAACACCACCACUGACAUCAAGGAGGCCAACUUUCUCGGCCCGGAUGCUAACUUCGUUGCGGCCGGGUCUGACGACGGAAGCAUGUUCAUCUGGUGCCGGCGCUCGGGCAACAUCGUGCGCUGCCUGAAGGGUGACGAGUCAAUCGUGAACUGCCUGCAGCUGCACCCCUCCAUGUUCCUGCUGGCCACCAGCGGGAUCGAGGCCGUCGUGCGUCUCUGGAGUCCCAGGCCGGAGGACGGGCGGACGGAGGGACGCGUGGUGUCGGACCCGGGCGGUGCGGCGGCCGCCAACCAGCAGCGCAUGCGCUCCGACCCGUUCGAGGCCAUGCUGCUCAACAUCAGCUUCGCGGGCGGCGCCUCGCGGGACCUGCACUCGCCCGCCUGCCGCACUACAUAGGAAAUAUUCUAGAUUGAGGUAACGAAUUGACGCCGUGGCCAGCCUCCCCGCCACUAUGAGGUCAUCACAUGGAGUCACUAUACCGCGGACCGCCUGUG